rnacentral:lncRNA from 1 species
CAGUGGUCUGUUUAAUGAGGGCUACCUGCCCAGAAUUUAUGCAGGUCUCCCACCUGGUGGACACUCCCCUAGGGGACCAAAUGGGAGACUGUGACAAAAGACAGACAAUCAGCAAAAUAGGACACAGUCAAAUUAUAUUCCCACAAUGCAUCCUGGCUUCCUCCCCUCUGCCCUGGAGAUAAUUGAGAAGUAAUUCAAUUAUCUCCCAGGACAAAGGCAAAUCGCCAUUAUGCACGUGGGGAUACCAAUACAGGAAUUACUAUUAAAA